CCUACGGGGGGCAGCAGUGGGGAAUAUGGCACAAUGGGCGCAAGCCUGAUGCAGCCAUGCCGCGUGUAUGAAGAAGGCCUUCGGGUUGUAAAGUACUUUCAGCGAGGAGGAAGGCAUUAGGGUUAAUAACCUUGGUGAUUGACGUUACUCGCAGAAGAAGCACCGGCUAACUCCGUGCCAGCAGCCGCGGUAAUACGGAGGGUGCAAGCGUUAAUCGGAAUUACUGGGCGUAAAGCGCACGCAGGCGGUCUGUCAAGUCGGAUGAGAAAUCCCCGGGCUCAACCUGGGAACUGCAUUCGAAACUGGCAGGCUAGAGUCUUGUAGAGGGGGGUAGAAUUUCAGGUGUAGCGGUGAAAUGCGUAGAGAUCUGGAGGAAUACCGGUGGCGAAGGCGGCCCCCUGGACAAAGACUGACGCUCAGGUGCGAAAGCGUGGGGAGCAAACAGGAUUAGAUACCCCAGUAGUC
rnacentral:rRNA from 1 species